rnacentral:rRNA from 1 species
ACAUCAUAAACGCCAGGGCACUACGAGCUUUAGCUUAAAACCCAAAGGACUUGACGGUGUCCUAUCCAACUAGAGGAGCCUGUUCUAUAAUCGAUAAUCCACGAUACACCUAACCACUUUUUGUUAUAUCAGCCUGUAUACCUCCGUCGCAAGCCUACCGUAUGAACAUACAACAGUAGGCUCAAAGACUUAGCGCCACAACGUCAGGUCAAGGUGCAGCUCAUAAAAUGGAAGAAAUGGGCUACAAUUUCUAAACUAGAACAUACGAAAUACUACAUGAAACAUAGUCAUGAAGGAGGAUUUAGCAGUAAGUAAAAAAUAGAGAGUUUUACUAAAUUUGGCCCCAGGACG